UGGGGAAUAUUGGACAAUGGGCGCAAGCCUGAUCCAGCCAUGCCGCGUGUGUGAAGAAGGCCUUUUGGUUGUAAAGCACUUUAAGCGAGGAGGAGGCUACUUGGAUUAAUACUCUAAGAUAGUGGACGUUACUCGCAGAAUAAGCACCGGCUAACUCUGUGCCAGCAGCCGCGGUAAUACAGAGGGUGCGAGCGUUAAUCGGAUUUACUGGGCGUAAAGCGUGCGUAGGCGGCUUCUUAAGUCGGAUGUGAAAUCCCUGAGCUUAACUUAGGAAUUGCAUUCGAUACUGGGAAGCUAGAGUAUGGGAGAGGAUGGUAGAAUUCCAGGUGUAGCGGUGAAAUGCGUAGAGAUCUGGAGGAAUACCGAUGGCGAAGGCAGCCAUCUGGCCUAAUACUGACGCUGAGGUACGAAAGCAUGGGGAGCAAACAGGA
rnacentral:rRNA from 1 species